ACCACGACUCUCGACAAUGGAUAUCUCGGCUCU
rnacentral:rRNA from 1 species